GACGAACGUUGGCGGCGUGCUUAACACAUGCAAGUCGAACGGAAAGGCCUCUUUCGGGGGGUACUCGAGUGGCGAACGGGUGAGUAACACGUGAGUAACCUGCCCUUGACUUUGGGAUAACUUCAGGAAACUGGGGCUAAUACCGGAUAGGAGCUCCUGCUGCAUGGUGGGGGUUGGAAAGUUUCGGCGGUUGGGGAUGGACUCGCGGCUUAUCAGCUUGUUGGUGGGGUAGUGGCUUACCAAGGCUUUGACGGGUAGCCGGCCUGAGAGGGUGACCGGCCACAUUGGGACUGAGAUACGGCCCAGACUCCUACGGGAGGCAGCAGUGGGGAAUAUUGCACAAUGGGUGGAAGCCUGAUGCAGCAACGCCGUGUGCGGGAUGACGGCCUUCGGGUUGUAAACCGCUUUCGCACAUGACGAAGCUUUGUGUGACGGUAGUGGGUAAAGAAGCACCGGCUAACUACGUG
rnacentral:rRNA from 1 species